UAGCGCCUGGAGGAAAGCGACUGUCAC
rnacentral:misc_RNA from 1 species